CUUCACCGACCCCAACAACAGCGGAGUCUCCCGGUCCUGCCCAUACGUCGCCAGCAACGCCUGCGCCUC
rfam:Micromonospora echinospora strain DSM 43816 genome assembly, chromosome: I